CAGCAGCCGCGGGAAUACGUAGGUGGCAAGCGUUGUCCGGAUUUAUUGGGCGUAAAGCGAGCGCAGGCGGUCAAUUAAGUCUGAUGUGAAAGCCCCCGGCUCAACCGGGGAGGGUCAUUGGAAACUGGUUGACUUGAGUGCAGAAGAGGAGAGUGGAACUCCAUGUGUAGCGGUGAAAUGCGUAGAUAUAUGGAGGAACACCGGUGGCGAAGGCGACUCUCUGGUCUGUAACUGACGCUGAGGCUCGAAAGCGUGGGUAGCAAACAGGAUUAGAUACCCCCGUAGUCCCUGUCUCUUAUAC
rnacentral:rRNA from 1 species